rnacentral:rRNA from 1 species
UACAGAGGGUGCAAGCGUUAAUCGGAGUUACUGGGCGUAAAGGGCGCGUAGGCGGCAUAUUAAGUCAGCUGUGAAAUCUCCGAGCUUAACUCGGAACUGUCAGCUGAUACUGAUGUGCUAGAGUGCAGAAGGGGCAAUCGGAAUUCUUGGUGUAGCAGUGAAAUGCGUAGAUAUCAAGCGGAACACCGGUGGCGAAGGCGGCCUUCUGGACAGUGACUGACGCUGAGACGCGAAAGCGUGGGGAGCAAACAGG